CCUACGGGUGGCAGCAGUGAGGAAUAUUGGUCAAUGGACGAGAGUCUGAACCAGCCAAGUAGCGUGAAGGAUGACUGCCCUAUGGGUUGUAAACUUCUUUUAUAUGGGAAUAAAAUGUUCCACGUGUGGGAUUUUGUAUGUAUCAUAUGAAUAAGGAUCGGCUAACUCCGUGCCAGCAGCCGCGGUAAUACGGAGGAUCCGAGCGUUAUCCGGAUUUAUUGGGUUUAAAGGGAGCGUAGGUGGAUUGUUAAGUCAGUUGUGAAAGUUUGCGGCUCAACCGCAAAAUUGCAGUUGAAACUGGCAGGCUUGAGUACAGUAGAGGUAGGCGGAAUGCGUGGUGUAGCGGUGAAAUGCUUAGAUAUCACGAAGAACUCCGAUUGCGAAGGCAGCUCACUGGACUGCAACUGACACUGAGGCUCGAAAGUGUGGGUAUCAAACAGGAUUAGAUACCCUUGUAGUC
rnacentral:rRNA from 1 species